CUUUCAAUGUAGGGUAAUAACUGCUUGAUCCAAGGAUAAAUCUGACUGACAUUCUGGGGUCAAGAAGGAAUUUUUUUCCUAGCUUGUUGCAAAAUUGUGCUUCAAACUGGGUGUUUUUGCCUUCUUUUGGAUCAACAGCAAAAAACAAAUGUGAGGAAGGCUGAACUUGAUGGACGCAAGUCUCUUUUCAGCUAUGUAACUAUGUAAC